GCAAAUUGACAAUAUCAAACAGGACUAAAUUUAUAAUUACAAUUCAGUAUUAAAAAAAAAACACCACGCAUGAUGAAAAUUUAAGGGGAAAAACGUACAUAUGCACACAUAUAAAAAUGAAUUAAGUUGUGGUAUCAUCCAAGCUAAUUAUCAAAAAAAUUAAAUUUUAAAAAAAAGUCUACAAAAUUGUUUUAUGCCCCAGAUCGACAUAUCCUCGAAUUAUGCACAAUAAAAAUCUCUCAAUUGGCAACUUAAUCUUAGACCAAUGUAAAAGCUAAAACCAAUAGCAUUAACCUCCCAACUGAACGAGGUGACUAGCAAAGGUUGGCGAAGAUAAGGCGGAUGAGCUGCGGCUGAGAGUGAUGGGUGCUGGCAAAGAUGACCGUAAGAGAGUGAGACCGUGAGCAAAGACAGUUCUGGAACAAAGAGAGUGAGAUCGUGAGUGAUGGAGAAAGUUUGUGACUAUGAUCGUGAUUGCCAGCGUGGGGCCAUUAGCGUCACCGUCAGAGUCUGUGAGAGAGAGAUUGCUAUUUGCUGACUUUACAUGUCCGCCGUCUGUGCGAGACUUGAGAGAAAGAGAGAUUUUGCCCAUCUACGGUUAGAU
rnacentral:lncRNA from 1 species